UACGUAGGGGGCUAGCGUUGUCCGGAAUCAUUGGGCGUAAAGAGCGUGUAGGCGGCCCGGUAAGUCCGCUGUAAAAAGUCGGGGGCUCAACCCUCGAAAGCCGGUGGAUACUGUCGGGCUAGAGUACGGAAGAGGCGAAUGGAAUUCCUGGUGUAGCGGUGAAAUGCGCAGAUAUCAGGAAGAACACCCGUGGCGAAGGCGGCUCUCUGGGAACGGUACUGACGCUGAGACGCGAAAGCGUGGGGAGCGAACAGG
rnacentral:rRNA from 1 species